rnacentral:rRNA from 1 species
GAUGAACGCUGGCGGCGUGCCUAAUACAUGCAAGUAGAACGCUGAAGGAGGAGCUUGCUCUUCUGGAUGAGUUGCGAACGGGUGAGUAACGCGUAGGUAACCUGCCUGGUAGCGGGGGAUAACUAUUGGAAACGAUAGCUAAUACCGCAUGACAACAGUUAUUGCAUGAUAACUGUUUAAAAGGGGCAACUGCUCCACUACCAGAUGGACCUGCGUUGUAUUAGCUAGUUGGUGAGGUAACGGCUCACCAAGGCGACGAUACAUAGCCGACCUGAGAGGGUGAUCGGCCACACUGGGACUGAGACACGGCCCAGACUCCUACGGGAGGCAGCAGUAGGGAAUCUUCGGCAAUGGACGGAAGUCUGACCGAGCAACGCCGCGGGAGUGAAGAAGGUUGUCGGAUCGUAAAGAUCUGUUGUAAGAGAAGAACGAGUGUGAGAGUGGAAAGUUCACACUGUGACGGUAUCUUACCAGAAAGGGACGGCUAACUACGUG